UACGUAGGGGGCAAGCGUUGUCCGGAAUCAUUGGGCGUAAAGCGCGUGUAGGCGGUCCGGUAAGUCCGCUGUAAAAGUCAAGGGCUCAACCCUUGAAAGCCGGUUGAUACUGUCGGGCUAGAGUCCGGAAGAGGCGAGUGGAAUUCCCGGUGUAGCGGUGAAAUGCGCAGAUAUCGGGAGGAACACCAAUGGCGAAGGCAGCUCGCUGGGACGGUACUGACGCUGAGACGCGAAAGCGUGGGGAGCAAACAGG
rnacentral:rRNA from 1 species